rnacentral:piRNA from 1 species
AAAACAAGGGCGGUUGUGAGAAAGGGAAU